rnacentral:rRNA from 1 species
UACGUAGGGUGCGAGCGUUGUCCGGAAUUACUGGGCGUAAAGGGUCUGUAGGUGGCUCGCUAAGUCAGACGUGAAAUCCCUCAGCUUAACUGGGGAACUGCGUCUGAUACUGGAUGGCUUGAGAUUGGGAGAGGGAUGCGGAAUUCCAGGUGUAGCGGUGAAAUGCGUAGAUAUCUGGAGGAACACCGGUGGCGAAGGCGGCAUCCUGGACCAACACUGACGCUGAGGAGCGAAAGCCAGGGGAGCAAACGGG